rnacentral:lncRNA from 1 species
AGUGUUUGGUAAACAGCCAGGGUCCGGAGCUCUGGGAACAGCCUGAUUUAGCUCUUUGUUUAAGUUUUGUGUUAGAGGCUCCCAAGAAGCUGAUGCAGGGGAAAGAAAUUAACAACCAUGGCUCAUUCACAGCCAGGCAGCCAAAUGGACAGCUCUAUAAGACUCAAGCCGACAGCGGAGAGAGUGCAACCAAACAGCCUUGGCCCAGCUUUCAGAGGAGAACGUUAUUCACCCCAACUGCUCUGCAUCUGCCUGGAUGUCUGCCAAGAUCUCAGUCUUCUUUCCACCAAUGACCCCUCGCGCUGCUUCCAGAAGCCAAGAAAGUGGGCUUUGUCCUUGGGGAUUUAGGAGGCGGAGCGGCGCCCCCUUGAGGCCACAUGGUGGAGGCAGCGAUGAGACCUGGAGUCUAAAAUUCAGACUGAAUCACAGGAAGAAGCUAUUUACACAAGUCAAACAUGGUCCAAUCUUGGCAAUUUCAUAAGGUUCCAAUCCUUAAGGGAUCAAAACCUGGCCAACUGCUUCCACCGAGAGGUGUGCCUUUCAAUGCCAGGCUUGGAGUGUCCCUCUUUAUUUAAAAAGGAGAGGAUUCCACAGCAGAGCUUCUCAAACUCUUCCACCCAAAUCCCCUCACCACAGAGGGACAGGAGUCCUGGGCAUGUAGCCUAAAGCAGCCAGGAGAAAAAAACCUUGACCUUAAUUUUUUUAAUGAUUUCACAUGAAUCAGUGGAAUGUGUUUAUGAUAAAAUCAUCUCCUCCUGAAAUACAUGUGUAAAACUGCUGCCCCAGUUAAACGCACUUAGUCUAACCAAGCCCUAGGAUUGGCCUCUCCAGCAUGAGAAGCAUUUCCAGCACUCCAGCUCCCCAGCUCCCACUCUGGGAUCCCACCUCAGACCCUCCCACUUCCUUGCACUCUGGCCUCUCGCUCUUGACCCUGCUCCCGCCACGCUCUUUCCUCAGAGUCCAUCAGUCCUGUCUUGUCUUCACCUUGGUCUCUGCCAAGUGUGGGUCCAAGUCAUAUAUUUGGGCUGUGAUCACAGGAACCCCAAGCCCCAGACCUCCCAAAGCACCCUAUGGAGAGACCUUACCCUCCUGGACAGACCCUCUCCCCCCAGCUAGACCUCAUCCUCUGGGUAGACCCAUCUCCCCAACCAGAACUCACCCUCCUGAGUAAACCCCAUCCCCCUAGCUAGACUUCAUCCUCCUGGACAGAUCCCAUCCCCCCAGCUAGACCUCACCCUCUUGGGUAGAUGCAUCUCCCCAACCAGAACUCUCCUGGGUAGACCCCUUCUACCCAGCUAGACCUGAUCCUCUGGACAGACCCCAUCAUCCCAGCUAGACUUCUCCCUCCUGGACUGUCCCCAUCCCCCCUCCAGCCAGACCUCACCCCUCUGGGUAGACCCCAUCCCCCCAACUAGACCUCACCCUCCUGGAUGGACUCUACCCUCCUGGAGAUACCUUCCCCUCCUGGGUACAUCCCACGUGGCUACACACUCCUUCCCCUGUCAGCUUUCUCCCCCAGGGUUCUGGGCAGCAGAGUCUGUGAUAAAGGAUACUAAGUGAUUCCCCAAUACUUCCCGUUUCCAGCCUCCAGUGGGCUCUCCCUGGGGCUAACGGUUCUUUUUGCUAUUUCUCCAGGCUUUGCCUGAUGACAAGUAUACUCUGAGAGUGUCCUAAUGAUACAGAUUUUGGACCCUAUCCCAGUUCUACUGAAUCCAAGUCUCUGGGGGAGGAGUUGGGGCUCUGCAUCUGGACACCUUCCUGCAGGGUCCCUCCUGGGAGGCAAGCCCGGGGAGCACCGCUGAGGCUCGCCUCAGUGCCCAUCCUAGACCUUCAGCAGCUAGCAGAGGAUGUCCCCACCAUCCCUCAGCCCACACUCCCACUGUCGCCCCAGCCAGGCUUGGCACUGCCUCCUUUCUCAGAAGAUUAAGACCAUCUGCUGUUUCCCAAGUUUCCCACCCUCCACCCUAAAAAUUUCUCCGUUUCCCAGUCUUUCCUCGUCUCUCAGAAAAUAAACAUCUUCCCAGGCUGCCUCCCCAGUGGGUCUGCACUCCUUGCUGUCUUCCCAGCACCUGCCCUUCCAGCCCGCCCUCUGUGUGUCCAGUGUUUCCCUCACCAAAGGACUCGCUUUGUUUUUCAAAUUGGAGGUUUUGUCUUCUCCCUAAAAACCAAAACAUCUCCCUGAGAAGUAACUCCCUCAAGCUACUGAUACGGAAGGGGGGCGGGGAAGUGCUGGGAAGGGAAGGGUGUGGUCCCUGGCUAGGGCUCCACCCCCGGGCCUGUGCCCACAGACCUAGGUGAGGACAGGCAUUUCUGUUUUCGUGCUUAAAUGUUGGAUUUCCCAAGACUACCCUGGCCUACCACACCCUCAUUCUGUGCCUGUAAAAAAACCUGAGAGCUUAGCAGGCACGCACACAAGCCUCUGGACGUCAAGAGGAACACACCGGUGUAAGAGCAGACUGAUAGUGGCCCACGGCAGGCUGGCAGGCCAUCGACAGGCAGAACCACUCAGUGCAGCUGGAGGACAGCCUGGCCACGGAGCGGUCCGACUUCAGAGGGGAAAACCACCUCCCCACUCCGUCUCCCUUCUGGCUCCCCCAUCUGAGAGCUACUUCCACUCAAUAAAACCUUGCACUCAUUCUCC